rnacentral:rRNA from 1 species
UACGUAGGGCGCAAGCGUUGUCCGGAAUUAUUGGGCGUAAAGAGCUCGUAGGCGGCUUGUCACGUCGGGUGUGAAAGCUCGGGGCUUAACCCCGGGUCUGCAUUCGAUACGGGCUGGCUGGAGUGUGGUAGGGGAGAUCGGAAUUCCUGGUGUAGCGGUGAAAUGCGCGAUAUCAGGAGGAACACCGGUGGCGAAGGCGGAUCUCUGGGCCAUUACUGACGCUGAGGAGCGAAAGCGUGGGGAGCGAACAGG